rnacentral:rRNA from 1 species
UACGGUAGGGUGCGAGCGUUAAUCGGAAUUACUGGGCGUAAAGCGUGCGCAGGCGGUUUUUUAAGACAGGCGUGAAAUCCCCGGGCUUAACUCGGAACGGUCAAGUGAUACUGUCGGACUAGAGUACAGAAGGGGCAACUGGAAUUCUCGGUGUAGCGGUGAAAUGCGUAGAUAUCGAGAGGAACACCUGCGGCGAAGGCGGGUUGCUGGGCUGAUACUGACGCUGAGGCGCGAAAGCCAGGGGAGCGAACGGG